UACAGAGGCCUCAAGCGUUGUUCGGAUUCAUUGGGCGUAAAGGGUGCGUAGGUGGCGCGCUAAGUCAGGUGUGAAAUUUCGGAGCUUAACUCCGAAACUGCAUUUGAUACUGGCGUGCUUGAGGACUGGAGAGGAGACUGGAAUUCAUGGUGUAGCAGUGAAAUGCGUAGAGAUCAUGAGGAAGACCAGUGGCGAAGGCGGGUCUCUGGACAGUUCCUGACACUGAGGCACGAAGGCCAGGGGAGCAAACGGG
rnacentral:rRNA from 1 species